UACAGAGGGUGCAAGCGUUGUUCGGAAUUAUUGGGCGUAAAGAGCGUGUAGGCGGCAUGGCAAGUCUGCUGUGAAAGCUCUCGGCUUAACCGGGAGAGGUCGGUGGAAACUGCCAGGCUAGAGGACGGUAGAGGGGGGUGGAAUUCCCGGUGUAGUGGUGAAAUGCGUAGAUAUCGGGAGGAACACCAGUGGCGAAGGCGGCCCCCUGGGCCGCUCCUGACGCUGAGACGCGAAGGCUAGGGUAGCGAACGGG
rnacentral:rRNA from 1 species